rnacentral:rRNA from 1 species
CAAUACAUGCUUUUAAAGUAUAAAAUUUGGUGAUUUACAAUAACUUAGCAAAUCGCAUAGUGAAAACUGGCGAUAAAUCAUUCAAGUUUCUGACCUAUCAGCUUUCGACGGUAUGGUAUUGGCUUACCGUGGCAGUGACGGUUAACGGGGGAUUAGGGUUCGAUUCCGGAGAGGGAGCCUGAGAAACGGCUACCACAUCUAAGGAAGGCAGCAGGCGCGCAAAUUACCCAAUUCUAACAGCAUGAGAGAGGUAGUGACAAGAAAUAACAAUACAAGGCAGUUAAAAUGCUUUGUAAUUGGAAUGAUAGAAAUUUAAACACUUUUUAAAGUAUCAAUUGGAGGGCAAGUCUGGUGCCAGCAGCCGCGGUAAUUCCAGCUYCAAUAGCGUAUAUUAAAAUUGUUGCAGUUAAAAAGCUCGUAGUUGAAUUUCUGUUAAAAAUAACCGGUCUGCUUUUAAUAAAAGYGGUAUCUUGGUGUGUUUUUAGCAAUAAUGUCCUUUGAAAUGUUUUUUACUUUAUUGUAAUAGAUUAUAUUCAGGA